rfam:Oryza sativa Japonica Group DNA, chromosome 10, cultivar: Nipponbare, complete sequence.
AAUAAAUGCAGUUUUACACUAUUUACGUUCAAACGUUCGACCGUUCGUCUUAUUUGAAUAUUUUUUAUGACUAGUAUUUUUAUUGCUAUUAUAUGAUAAAACAUAAAUAGUACUUUAUGUGUGACUAAAUAUUUUCAAUUUUUUCACAAAUUUUUCAAAUAAGAUGGACGAGUCAAACGUUGGGCACGGAUAUCCACGGCUACACUUAUU